rnacentral:rRNA from 1 species
CAAUAGCGUAUAUUAAAGUUGUUGCGGUUAAAAAGCUCGUAGUUGGAUUUCUGCCGAGGACGACCGGUCCGCCCUCUGGGUGAGUAUCUGGUUCGGCCUGGGCAUCUUCUUGGAGAACGUAUCUGCACUUGACUGUGUGGUGCGGUAUCCAGGACUUUUACUUUGAAAAAUCAGAGUGUUUCAAGCAGGCAGCUCGCUCUUGCAUGGAUUAGCAUGGGAUAAUGAAAUAGGACUUUGGUGCUAUUUUGUUGGUUUCGAACACCGAAGUAAUGAUGAGCAGGGACAGUCAGGGGCACUCGUAUUCCGCCGAGAGAGGUGAAAUUCUCAGACCAGCGGAAGACGAACUACUGCGAAAGCAUUUGCCAGGGAUGUUUUCACUGAUCAAGAACGAAAGUUAGGGGAUCGAAGACGAUUAGAUACCG